rnacentral:rRNA from 1 species
UACGUAGGCAGCGAGCGUUGUUCGGAGUUACUGGGCGUAAAGAGUGCGUAGGCGGUUUUCUAAGUUUGGUGUGAAAUCUCCCGGCUUAACUGGGAGGGUGCGCCGAAAACUGGAAGGCUUGAGUAUGGGAGAGGUAAGCGGAAUUCCUGGUGUAGCGGUGAAAUGCGCAGAUAUCAGGAAGAACACCCGUGGCUAAGGCGGCUCUCUAGUACGGUACUGACGCUGAGACGCGAAAGCGUGGGGAGCGAACAGG